rnacentral:misc_RNA from 2 species
GGCCGCAGUGGAUAAUACACUAACAGAACAAUAAUAACUCUCUUUUGCUUGACAAAAAGAGAGUUACUGGCGAGUAUUGUCU